rnacentral:rRNA from 1 species
GGUCAAGCGAAUAAGCGCACACGGUGGAUGCCUAGGCGGUCAGAGGCGAUGAAGGACGUGGUAGCCUGCGAAAAGUGUCGGGGAGCUGGCAACAAGCUUUGAUCCGGCAAUAUCCGAAUGGGGAAACCCACUGCUUCGGCAGUAUCCUGCAGUGAAUUCAUAGCUGCUGGAAGCGAACCCGGUGAACUGAAAUAUCUAAGUAACCGGAGGAAAAGAAAUCAACCGAGAUUCCCUAAGUAGUGACGAGCGAACGGGGAGCAGCCCUUAAGCUGGAAUGGCUUUAGAAAAACAAUCUGGAAAGAUUGGCCAUAGAAGGUGAUAGCCCUGUAUUUAAAAGGGCCACUCCAGUGAAGACGAGUAGGGCGGGGCACGUGAAACCCUGUCUGAAUAUGGGGGGGCCAUCCUCCAAGGCUAAAUACUCCUGACCGACCGAUAGUGAACCAGUACCGUGAGGGAAAGGCGAAAAGAACCCCGGAGAGGGGAGUGAAAUAGAUCCUGAAACCGUGUGCGUACAAGCAGUAGGAGCUCGCAAGAGUGACUACGUACCUUUUGUAUAAUGGGUCAGCGACUUACUGCUCGUGGCAAGCUUAACCGUAUAGGGGAGGCGAAGGGAAACCGAGUCUGAUAAGGGCGCAUAGUCGCGGGCAGUAGACCCGAAACCGGGUGAUCUAGUCAUGGCCAGGGUGAAGGUGCCGUAACAGGUACUGGAGGCCCGAACCCACGUCUGUUGCAAAAGACGGGGAUGAGCUGUGAUUAGGAGUGAAAAGCUAAUCGAACCCGGAGAUAGCUGGUUCUCCUCGAAAGCUAUUUAGGUAGCGCCUCAUAUGUAUCCUCUCGGGGGUAGAGCACUGUUAUGGCUAGGGGGUCAUCGCGACUUACCAAACCAUUGCAAACUCCGAAUACCGAGACGGACUGUAUGGGAGACACACGGCGGGUGCUAACGUCCGUCGUGAAAAGGGAAACAACCCAGACCCACAGCUAAGGUCCCAAAUUCACUGCUAAGUGGAAAACGAUGUGGAAAGGCAUAGACAGCCAGGAGGUUGGCUUAGAAGCAGCCACCCUUUAAAGAAAGCGUAAUAGCUCACUGGUCGAGUCGGUCUGCGCGGAAGAUUUAACGGGGCUAAGCAGUGAACCGAAGCUUGGGGUGCAUAAAACUUGUUUUAUGCGCGGUAGAGGAGCGUUCCGUAAGCCUGCGAAGGUGGAUUGAGAAGUCUGCUGGAGGUAUCGGAAGUGCGAAUGCUGACAUGAGUAACGAUAAUGCGGGUGAAAAGCCCGCACGCCGAAAGCCCAAGGUUUCCUUGCGCAACGUUAAUCGACGCAGGGUUAGUCGGUCCCUAAGGCGAGGGCGAAAGCCGUAGUCGAUGGGAAGCAGGUUAAUAUUCCUGCACCUCGCGUGAGUGCGAUGGAGGGACGGAGAAGGUUAGGUGUACCGGGCGUUGGUUGUCCCGGGGAAAGGCGGUAGGUUUGGAUCUUUGGCAAAUCCGGGAUCCUUUAAGACCGAGCACCGAGACGAGCCUUUAUGGCGAAGUCACUGAUACCACGCUUCCAGGAAAAGCUCCUAAGCUUCAGCUCACGAAGACCGUACCGUAAACCGACACAGGUGGGUAGGAUGAGAAUUCUCAGGCGCUUGAGAGAACUCGGGUGAAGGAACUAGGCAACAUGGCACCGUAACUUCGGGAGAAGGUGCACCCUUUUUGGUGGCUCGUGCGAGCUAUAGCUGAAGAGGGUCGCAGAAACCAGGCCGCUGCGACUGUUUAUCAAAAACACAGCACUCUGCAAACACGAAAGUGGACGUAUAGGGUGUGACGCCUGCCCGGUGCUGGAAGGUUAAUUGAUGGGGUCAGCCGCAAGGCGAAGCUCUUGAUCGAAGCCCCAGUAAACGGCGGCCGUAACUAUAACGGUCCUAAGGUAGCGAAAUUCCUUGUCGGGUAAGUUCCGACCUGCACGAAUGGCGUAACGACAGCGGCGCUGUCUCCACCCGAGACUCAGUGAAAUUGAAAUCGCUGUGAAGAUGCAGCGUUCCCGUGGCAAGACGGAAAGACCCCGUGAACCUUUACUAUAGCUUUACACUGAACGUUGAGUUCGUCUGUGUAGGAUAGGUGGGAGGCUAUGAAACUGUGGCGCUAGCUGCAGUGGAGCCAUCCUUGAAAUACCACCCUGUCGUGCUUGACGUUCUAACCUAGGUCCGUUAUCCGGAUCAGGGACCGUGUAUGGUGGGUAGUUUGACUGGGGCGGUCUCCUCCUAAAGAGUAACGGAGGAGCACGAAGGUACGCUCAGCGCGGUCGGACAUCGCGCACUGUGUGCAAAGGCAUAAGCGUGCUUGACUGCAAGAUCGACGGAUCAAGCAGGUACGAAAGUAGGUCUUAGUGAUCCGGUGGUUCUGUAUGGAAGGGCCAUCGCUCAACGGAUAAAAGGUACUCCGGGGAUAACAGGCUGAUACCGCCCAAGAGUUCAUAUCGACGGCGGUGUUUGGCACCUCGAUGUCGGCUCAUCACAUCCUGGGGCUGUAGUCGGUCCCAAGGGUAUGGCUGUUCGCCAUUUAAAGUGGUACGCGAGCUGGGUUCAGAACGUCGUGAGACAGUUCGGUCCCUAUCUGCCAUGGGCGUUGGAAGUUUGAGAGGGGCUACUCCUAGUACGAGAGGACCGGAGUGGACGAACCUCUGGUGUUCCGGUUGUCACGCCAGUGGCAUUGCCGGGUAGCUAUGUUCGGAAGCGAUAACCGCUGAAAGCAUCUAAGCGGGAAGCGCGCCUCAAGAUGAGACUUCCCGGGGCACAAGCCCCCUAAAGGAACCAUGUAGACUACGUGGUUGAUAGGUCAGGUGUGUAAGUACAGCAAUGUAUUGAGCUAACUGAUACUAAUGAUCCGUGCGGCUUGACCAU